GCCAGGAGACCCUGGGACAAAGAGGGAAUGCUAGCUGCUGCUCAUACAGGGAAAGUCAUGUCUCUGGCCAAGUGGCUCCUCUGGCAGCAGCUCGACCCUGGCCCCUGGCCAGCCACAUAUUGGGAGCAGAGUCUGAAGGCAGGCUUUGUCUCAGAGGAAGGAUGGUGUGAGCGAGCACUGAGCAGUGGGGGGUGCAGCCAGGGCCCACUGCAGAACUGAGGGAACCUGGGAUGCCUGAGGAGAAAAGGCAAAGUGGGGCCACCCGUUGCCCCUCUGCCUCUCUCAGUAACGUAGCUCACAAACAACCAAAGGACCUGGUGUGAGUUAACUCGUUUUUCUUAUCACUGUUCUCAGGUUUACCUCUCAGAAAGACAGCCCUGCGUCCCUUGAGCGAAUCUGCAACCCUCUCCACAGCUCUGCCGCGGGGCAGAUAGAAGAACAGGGGCUCACUGGAGCUCAGAGACCCAAAUGGGUCGGUCGGCCAUGGGAACCUUACAGGAGGCCCUGUCUUAGAGCAACACAGGGAGCGGUCCCCAGUUCCUGGAACUGCAAAACCGCAGGGGCAGAAAAACGCUGCAACCCCAGUGAGACCGCUCAUGCGCAUUUCUCUGUCCUCAGCUGGAUGGAGAAUUGAUGGACUUGAACGUCAGUGAACAUGAAUCUUUUAUUAUCUGUUCUUUCCUUCUCCUCCGGGACUUCUUUCAUUUUUCCCCCCUACCCCUCCCCUCAGACCAGUACUUUUCAACUAUCGUGUGCUAAUGAUCUGUGAGAUGGCUCCGAGGUAAAGAAUAUUGUGAAGAGGCCUGGUGACCUGACCUGAGAUUCCCAGGACCCACCCACACGAUGAAAGGAGAGAAUGGACUUCCUCCUGAAAUGGUUCUCUCUCUCUCUCCCCCUCCCCCCCCAUUUGACGAAGAAUCACUAAGGUGGCCCAGUGCAGAGUGCAAGUUCCACGCCAGCCAGGGCUACGUAGGGAGACUUUAUCUUAAAAGAGCAGAGGAGGAACCCACAAAGUCAGGAAACAGAGGGGAAGCCCAGCUUUACUCUCAUUAGAUUGAGACAUCAGCCCCUCAUUCGCUUCCCCCUUGCUACAGCUCGCAAGCUGCCCAAUGCCCCACCACGUCUCAAGCUGGAGGAGACAAAAGACACCGUGGGAGGCAAGUCGUGAGUGUGGCUGCGCAUGAUAUCAUCCAGCAAGCGCUGGAGGAAUGCCACCAUGGGAGGAUUCAUCCCGAGUCUGUUGCAGCCGCGUCUCUGGCUCCUCCAGUGCUCAUUCCUGUGCUCACAGGGCCCCAUUUCCUUAGAACUUCCGGUGGAGCCCCGAGUCUCAGAGUUCAGGUCUCCCCUCUGCCUGUCUUUUCUUGAUUUCCUGUGAAAUGCAUCAGGAAGACCGGCCUCCAGCAGGAACUUGGGUGGAAGACCAGAGAUUGGGUAGAGAAGCCAAACCUCUGCCCCGCCUGGAUGUGUUCCAGGACAAGAAGGCAGGAGGCCUCUCGAGAAGAGACUGAUUCACCCCGCCCUUUGUAUCGGAAGCCAGAGUUCCGCGUGGAAACAGCUCUCCAGCUUCCUAAUGGAGUCUCACCCUGAAAUUAAUUACUACUUUCUCCUGCUGGAAUUACAAUUCUGAAUCUUUGCUGCUACAUGUUUAUGUGUACAUGCAUGUGUGUAUAGAGAGUCGUCCAGGGAACCUUCUUGGCUGAAGCCUGAAACCUGCGUGUCUAAAAGGCGGCUGGGUGUCUGUCCUGGUCUUCAGCGCAUACCUGGAGCUCGGGUCUCCUUGGAUUGCUCAGCAUCAGCUCUCGGCCCUGAUCCACAGAAGAAGCAUCUGGAGAACGUGGAAAACUCAAUGAAGUUAGAUGUUCUGGGAAUGAAGUGAAUGGAUUUUAGGCUCCCUAGUGUGGAGCCCACAGAAGUGGGUCUGCUGCACCUUGCUCCUUCAUUUUUAAGACAGGAGAUCUGACCCAGGAAGUGGCUGCCUACAGGAUACCUGGUCUAAGGUGUGGUCACUGCAUGUCCUGUCUGAAACAUCAGGAUGCUUAACUCAGGAAAUAGUGGCUUAAUGUCUCAAGUAUUGAAGCAAACGGUUGUUCUGUUUGUCCUUUGUGUCAUGUUAAAGCAGUCAUUUGCCUUCUUCCCCCAUUUUGGACUGGUAUCUAAAUCAAAUGGUAUAUAAACAUGUGGACAAUAACCAUGGGUGCAUUCAGUAUUCAGUGUUCACUGGAUGGCCCUCCAGUUCUAUCCUGUGUCUCUGUAUUUCUUUCACACCUCUGUUCUUCCUACCUAAUUUUUCUAAUCCCCACGCCCCUACCCAGGGACGUGUGAACCCUGUCGAGACUGGAUCCCAACACCGUAGGCGACGGGUAGCUGAAAUGCAGGACUGUUGUUUUGAAAUAGUGGAUCCCAGUCCUACCACAGAAAUGAAUAAAAAUUUUUACAAAAUA